UGAAGGUAUUUGACUUCCGGCCAGACUCUCUCUACGACAACAUUCUGGAGGACCGCAGCGGCAACCCCAAAAGCAAGCACGACAUCUGUGGCGAAGACAUGUCCAACUGCACACUUUGGAAGAAACCGGAAAACGUAAUCGUUCGGAACAUCACAGUGUCAACAGAAGUCAGAAACUGGAAUACUGUAUCUCAUUCUGCAUUAAGCUCAAGAAUUCUACACCUGUAAUGUUAUUAACUCUUGCAAUUAAUAUUAUACAUCACCACAGUUACAUAACUAUCUUCUUUGAAAAAAAUAAAAUAAAGAUACUUCA